ACUUUUUAUCAACAAAAAAACCUGAAUCUUUUAGCUGCUGGUUUUUUUUUCAGUGGCGGUCCCUCUUUCCAAUGGUUUCACACGGUUAACCAUCUCGCCUCCUGCCCGGUUCAGGAACCGGUCCACCGUCUUCGCCACUUUAGCCUCUUCCCGGCUUGAUUCUGUGAACUGGGUCGAAGCCACUUCCAGCUUCUUCGACUAAGACACCAGGCCCAUCAUGUUGUUCGAAGGAGUUUGCAACUUAUGUAAUGGAGGCGUCAGGUUUGUUUGUGAUGUUGAUCGGAAAAGGAGAAAAGAU